GGAGCUGCGAGCUUGCUCCUGGCCCUACUCCUACUCCUGCAGCCGCUGCCACUCCGGCCAGGGUCCGAGACAUCGGAGCUGUCGCCAUGAUUGGAACUCCACCAGAACAGAGACUUAUCUCCCCUCUCAGAAUAAGAGCUUCUCAUCUCUGUUAGACUGGGAGCUACAAGGAGCUUUGAUGUUUGCUGUGCACCCUCCUCACAACCACUUGGUAAUGUAAGUAGUGAAAGCCAGAGAGAAGCCAAUAUAUACGCAAGACACAGUAGAAGUGCAUUAAAUAUUGGUUGAAUUUACUGCAGCAAAGGAGAGACAAUGAAGUACAAUGGAAAGAUUAGAUCAGGUCUUAACUAGAUUGGGAGUCGGAAGACCUGGGUUCAAGUCCUGUCUCUUCUACUUCCUACCUGUGUAACCUUGGACAAGUUAUUUGAUCUCUUUUUGCCUCUGUUUCGUUAUUUGUAAAGGCAUUGAAUUAGAUGGCUGUCUAAAGUCCCAGCUCUCAAUCUAUGAUCCUUUGAUAAAGGAAAAGAGUAUCAGGAAGGUUGCCACCAGUGCCAGAUACUGCAAAGGUCAAGGAAGUUGAGGACAGAGGGAAAAGUCAUUGGCUCUGGGAAUGAGGAGCUCUCUGAUGACCUUAGCACAGUGUAGCUCCAGUCCAGGAGUGGGUAUGGGAGCCAAAUGACAGGAGACUGAGGAGAAAGAAAGCCAUGGGAGGGAAAGGAAAUGGAAGAGGUGGACAUGGGAGGAAUUUAGUGUGUAGGAUAGGGAUGGAGACAGGGUGGUAGAGGCUUGUAGAGUUAAGUGAUAAUAUUUCAAAAAGGAACACUGAGCUUUAUUUGAAGAAAGUCAAGAAGUGGCUACAAGAGAGAGAAAUCAAAGAUGUUGAAAAUAGAGUAAUGGAUGGAGUGAGAUCACUUAGUGGGGGGUAGGGGAGGAAGGGAAGGGAGCAAGCUUUAUUAAGUGCCAAUUAUUUGCCAGAUGUGCUGUCUUCUUUAUAAAUAUUGUCUCAUUUAUUCCUCACAAGAACCCUGGGAGAUAGGUGCUGUUUUUGUUGUUU